rnacentral:rRNA from 1 species
CACGUAGGAGGCAAACGUUAUCCGGAAUUACUGGGCGUAAAGCGCACGCAGGCGGCAUCGUAAGUCCGACGUGAAAGCUCCUGGCUUAACUGGGAGAGGCCGUUGGAUACUGCGAAGCUCGAGGUUGGGAGAGGAGAGUGGAAUUCCCGGUGUAGUGGUGGAAUGCGUAGAUAUCGGGAGGAACUCCAGUGGCGAAAGCGACUCUCUGGCCUACACCUGACGCUAAAGUGCGAAAGCGUGGGUAGCGAACAGG